rnacentral:rRNA from 1 species
CAAUAGCGAAUAUUAACGUUGUUGCAGUUAAAAAGCUCGUAGUUGGAUUUCUGGAGGGAGCGUCGGCCCGUAUUUACGAGUGCGUGACGUCUCUGUCCAUCCUUGCGGGAAGGCACGGCAUUGAUUUGUUGUGUCGGAUCGCAUCAUUUACUGUGAAAAAAUUAGAGUGUUCAAAGCAGGCUUUCGCUUGAAUACAUUAGCAUGGAAUAAUAAGAUAGGACUUUGGUGCUAUUUUGUUGGUUGAGCCUAAAGUAAUGAUUAAUAGGGAUAGUUGGGGGCACCUGUAUUGCGUUGUCAGAGGUGAAAUUCUUGGAUUUACGCAAGACAAACAGCUGCGAAAGCGUCUGCCAAGGAUGUUUUCAUUAA